CGCCGGCGGGAGGCGGGACUUCCGCUCCUUCGGGUGUACGUCAGGCAGGAGGCGGAAGCGCAGCGGGGGCGGGAAGGUUGUAGAACCGCACGUUGGGCUCUGUUUGCAGGUCUCUAAGUGGUCGCGCCCCCUUUGAGAGAGCGAUCCCAAGGCGAGGAGGGUCCUGGGCGCUUUAUUGGCCCUGGGUAGCGGCCUCCCCAACUUCCUCACUUCCCUUUCUCUGGAUGUUGUCGGCCGCAGCCGCCCAGCCUGCCCUCCACGCCCUCCAGCAAGGACCCUUUGAGACGCAGGUGCCGCCCUGUCUCAUCCCUGCUUUAUGUUUCCCUUCACUAGAUGGCACUCUUUCCUCUCGUCCCAACCGGCUUGGCUCGCCCUGUGCUUCUGCCGCAGGAGCACGUGACUGUAAAGUGCUGACCAGUUGCCACUGAGCAUAGUUGAAACAAAAUAGGAAGAUAUGGCAGCAAACCCUUCAGGACAAGGUAAUGCAUGCUGGAA